UAAUAUUCUUGAUUUCAUUAAAGCUUAAUCCCUAAUAAUGCAAAGUGAAUUUUUAUUUUACAAGAAUUCUCCUUCUUUUAUGCUCGCUAUGAUAGAUUCAUCAUGAUCACCUUCCCCAUCCGUGUCCUUUCGAAACAAAGGAAUGAAACCGCGCCCACAAAGACGAUAGCUAUGCUAGCACGAUCAACAGUUCCGACUUUGUUUCGUUUUUUUACAUUUAUUCCCCGACACAAUUCUUCAAUUAGGAUGUCCUCAAUGUUUCUUUCUUUCCGUGCCCUUUUCUGGCCAUCUAGAAAUUCUAACUCAACUGCCCCUCGCCACCAUGCACGGCCAAAGCCAUGAAACCACAUUCUUUGAAUCAACCAUAAAAAGCCACCGACUACUACCACAUGUUAAUCCCCACCGGAACCACCACUGGAAGCUGUCUCCGCAACAGUUUUCACCCUCUCCUGCUCGUGACCGUUCCUCUCCUGGCCAAAGCCACUCCUCAUCAUGACCUCCCUUGCAGCAGCAUCAUCGAUCUAGGUGGCUUGCUGUGGUCGUUGAUUUGGGAAUUGGUGGCGUGGGUGAUUGUCAAGGUGGUGAAGGCUGGGUUCGAGUGAGGGACGAUCUAGGUGGUCGCAGUUGAUAAUGAAAAGAACGAGGACUCAUUUAUCUCAUAAGACAAAACAAUUUUCACAAACUGGCAAUGGUAAAGCUGCGAUCUGCUAGGAACAUCUUCCGUUGCAAUGGAUUUUUCACUGCUAACCCUGGCUAAUAGAUUCUCCAUUAAGCAUUAUUUAAAUAUAUUGGUUAUCUUGCCUGCUGUAUGCUUUCGACAGGAUUCCAAUUUAAGUUUUAAUGAAAAAAGAAAAAAUAAA